rnacentral:rRNA from 1 species
UACAGAGGUCUCAAGCGUUGUUCGGAUUCAUUGGGCGUAAAGGGUGCGUAGGCGGCGCGGUAAGUCGGAUGUGAAAUCUCGGAGCUCAACUCCGAAAUGGCAUUGGAAACUACCUUGCUCGAGGGUUGGAGGGGGGACUGGAAUGCUUGGUGUAGCAGUGAAAUGCGUAGAUAUCAAGCGGAACACCAGUGGCGAAGGCGAGUCCCUGGACAACUCCUGACACUGAGGCACGAAAGCUAGGGGAGCAAACAGG